rnacentral:misc_RNA from 1 species
UGAAUUGCGAUAAUUAAUGUGAAUUGCAAUUAAUGUGAAUCAUCAAGUUUUUGAACGCACUUUGCGCCGAUAUUUUUAUUGGCAUGGGUGUUUGAGGGUCGUUAAAAAAUAGGAAGAAAUUCCUGAAGAUUGAGGUUCAAGAUUUCCUUGUACCUUGGAAUUGAUAAGAUUAAAAGUAUUUAUUACUUUGUUGUAUGGUAGGAAAAAUGACCGAGGUUGUUUUUAACAUUACAAUGAAAUAGUAAAGAAAAGGAAAAGUUUAUUCUUAGACCUCAAAUCACUCAAGAUCACCCGCUGAACUUAA